rnacentral:rRNA from 1 species
CUACGGGACGCUGCAGUGAGGAAUAUUACACAAUGGGGGGAACCCUGAUGCAGCAACGCCGCGUGGAGGAUGACGCAUUUCGGUGUGUAAACUCCUUUUAUAUGUCAAGAAAAUGACGGUAGCAUAUGAAUAGGCACCGGCUAACUCCGUGCCAGCAGCCGCGGUAAUACGGAGGGUGCAAGCGUUACUCGGAAUCACUGGGCGUAAAGGACGCGUAGGCGGGUUGGAAAGUCAGGUGUGAAAUCCUACAGCUUAACUGUAGAACUGCACUUGAAACUUCUAAUCUAGAGUAUGGGAGGGGGAGAUGGAAUUAGUGGUGUAGGGGUAAAAUCCGUAGAUAUCACUAGGAAUACCUAAAGCGAAGGCGAUCUCCUGGAACAUUACUGACGCUAAGGCGUGAAAGCGUGGGGAGCAAACAGGAUUAGAUACCCCUGUAGUC